CCAUAGCAUGCAUACUCAGCAAUAUAAAGAGAGAGACGUGUUAGGAGGUUACCUAUCUUUUUCCUCAGGCCUGGCUGAAUAUUUGUCUACCCUUGUGACAUGGCUAGCUGUGUGCUUCGCAAACAAUUAUGCACAUACUGCGGGACUGGAAGCAAGAAUAUUUGUAUGCAUGCUGCUGUCUUGUUGGCAAGGCUGGACUCCUAAAAUGUGUUUCUACCCAGUACAUGAUGAAUUAUUCUGCAGACUAAUUCUGUGGUUUAUAGGUUGCUGUAGGCCACUCAUGAAGUCAUGAGCAUGGUCAUUCAAAUACAGAACACUUAUAAAUUCUGGCUUUAAAGUAUACAUAUAAACUUCUUUCUAUGCAACUGUAGCUUGAGUCACCCAUCCUGAAUAAUAAUGUCUUUGCCAGGUGUUGUGGGAUAAGUUGGGAUUUUUUUUUUUAUGAAAGCAGUGGAACAUUAUUGUACCUGACUGUUCUUAUGGCCACCAGUGUUCUUGAAAUAUUAACAAAAGAGAUGAUG
rnacentral:lncRNA from 1 species